rnacentral:rRNA from 1 species
AUGAAUCGCCGGUUCGUGAAUCUGCUGGUCAACAAAUUGCGUGCCCCGCGACCGGCCUUCAAGCUGCACUGCAUCGACCCCGCAACCUUGUUCUACCCUGCCAGAUCACCAAAAGCAGCAGCAGCAGAUCCAGCAGCAACAAACGAGCCCGCUCCGGCUUCAGGGAGGCUGCCUUCGCCCGCCAUAUCAUUCGACUGGCCCUGCAGGCCGCACCAAACCGGGUGGAUGCAUUUCAUGCCCUUCAAGAACAGCGUCUUCUCCGUGGACCACGAGGGCCGAAUGAACCAUCCUCUACGACACCGGCUCGCGGUCCGUCCGGGCCAUGCCGCUCACGGACAAGCCUAG